ensembl:miRNA MIR146B microRNA 146b
CCUGGCUCUGAGAACUGAAUUCCAUAGGCUGUGAGCUCUAGUGAAUGCCCUAGGGACUCAGUUCUGGUGCC